CACGGCCCAGACUCCUACGGGAGGCAGCAGUGGGGGAAUAUUGGACAAUGGGGGGCAACCCUGAUCCAGCAAUGCCGCGUGAGUGAUGAAGGCCUCGGUUGUAAAGACUCUUUCGUCCCACGACGAUGAUGACGGUAGUGGGAGAAGAAGCCCCGGCUAACUUCGUGCCAGCAGCCGCGGUAAUACGAAGGGGGCUAGCGUUGUUCGGAAUGACUGGGCGUAAAGGGCGCGUAGGCGGCGCAUCAAGUCGGGCGUGAAAGCCCCGGGCUCAACCUGGGAACUGCGUUCGAGACUGGUGUGCUAGAGUUCGGGAGAGGAGAGUGGAAUUCCCAGUGUAGAGGUGAAAUUCGUAGAUAUUGGGAAGAACACCAAUGGCGAAGGCAGCUCUCUGGACCGAUACUGACGCUGAGGCGCGAAAGCGUGGGGAGCAAAACAGGAUUAGAUACCCUGGUAGUCCACGCCGUAAACGAUGAAUGCUAGACGUUGGGACCCCUAGGG
rnacentral:rRNA from 1 species